GAAUGGUGUAUCUAACUCUGCACAUUCGUUUGGUGGUCUAAUAUUCUGCACAAUGUGGUUUGCCAAAUCUUCAGGUAGAGUCAGAAAUAUUUUUUCCAAGUUCCACAUACCAUUUUCAACCAGAUCAUUAACAUUGUAAAUAUCCUCAUCGAUACCAAACUCUUCAGGCACUUGGAAAUAUAAGGCUCCCAGCUCAGUCCAAUUAUCGAACCAGAAUUGAGCAGAUCCCAUUCGCGGUUUCCUGUAGAUUUGAUGCUCAAUCAAGUCCCUACAUUCUAGCAUUUUUUUCCACACGUGGGAUCCACGCUUCCAAGGUAAAAUUACUGAAUUUAGUUUCUUGCAGUACCUUUGACUAAUAAAUGCACUCCAUAAACUGGGCUUUGUCCUGAAAUUCCACCACAAUUUAUAGAAUAGUGCCUUGGAUACAUCAUGUAGGGACCUGAAGCCUAUGCCUCCCUCCUCAUAAGGCAUACAAAGGUUAGUCCACGAUGACCAAUGUCUAGAGUUGCCUCCCACAUUGCUGCUCCAGAAGAAUUUUGCCAAAAUGCUAUGUAAUUUAUUAAUCACAUAAAUUGGUGGAUUAACUGCUGACAACAUAUGAAUUGGGAUACUCUGCAGGACAUUUGCGAUCAAUACAGCUCUGCCUCCUACAGAUAGGAGUUUGCCUUUCCACGACUGCAGUUUGUCCAUAACCUUAGUGAUUAAUCCCUGGUAAUAGUCUCCCCUUCUUCUUGCAUAAAAAAUAGGGCAGCCAAGAUAGGUCAUCGAGAAACAUUGUCUUCUUAUACCUGUAAUCCUUUCAACCUUGUUAAUCACCUCAUUGUCCGUUAAAUGAUACAGGUAUAUGGCUGAUUUUGCUUUGUUCACCAGUUGACCAGACAAUGAUUCAUAAGCUUGUAGAACCUCCAUCACAAGUCUCAGUGAAGUUUCAUCAGAUGAGCAGAAAAUGAUUGUAUCAUCAGCGCAUGACAAAUAAUUUAUUUUUGGGCUCCAUUUUGGCAUUACGAAUCCGCAGAAAUACAGGUUAGUGUGUAGUGAAUUCAAACCUCGUGACAGUGCUUUUACUGCUAGGAUGAAUAGGGUUGGUGACAAAGGGUCACCCUGCUUAACUCCCCUCGAUGAUUUGAAGAAACCAUUUGGCUGUCCAUUUAUAAGAAUAGAGUACCAAUUAUUCCCAAUCAAAUCAAAUAUCAAGACAAUAAAAUCUUCAGGAAAUCCCAUAUUCCUUAGCAUUUUGGUUAUGAAUAGCCAUGAUAACCUAUCGUAAGCUUUUGUCAUGUCAAGUUUAAUCACAACAUUUGGACCUGCUUUUGUUCUCAACCUGAUAUCCUUAAUGAUUUCUUGAGUUAACAGCACAUUCUCAACUAUGCUUCUUCCCUUCAGAAAACCUGCCUAUUCUUCCGAGAUUAUGCUCGGUAAAAAUUCAACCAGCCUUUCAUGAAUAACCCUUGAGAAAAGCUUAUUAACAAAGUUGCUAAGACUGAUUGGUCUCAUGUCUGCAAAGAUAAUCACUUCUUUUUUCUUUGGUAAUAAAACCAGGUUUGUGUGUGUCACACUCUUUGGCAGCUGCUGACCGCAAAAGAAAGCCCUGACCAUGCCGACUACAUCUUCUUCAAUGAUUUCCCAGCAUGUUUGGUAAAAGGCUCCAGUGAAACCAUCUGGUCCGCCUGCUGAGUCCCCAUUCAACCCCAUAACUGCUCUCUUCACUUCUUCAUUGGAAGGCAAAGCCAUCAAUCUCUCAUGUUGAUCUCUAUCUACCAUUGAAGGUACAUGAUUUAGAAUAUCAAAAUCAUUAGGCACUGCACUCUCAGUAAAUUGAUCCUUGUAGAACUUUACUGUUUCUUCUGCUAUUAAGUGAUCUUCUUCAAUCUAGUUACCAAGGCUAUUCUGGAUCCUUGAUAAUUUCAGUCUCUUCCUUCUCCCAUUAACCUGAGCAUGGAAGAAUUUAGUAUUUCUAUCGCCAUCUUUGAACCAUAACAUGCCAUCUUUUUGCCUCCAGAAUUCUUCUUCUAAUUCAAGUUAUUUAAUCAUUUCAGCUUGGACCUAUCGUAAUUUUUGUCUGUUCAUCUGUGUAGGAUUGACUUCAAAUUGUCUUUCAUGAACCAAGACCACCUCCUCAAGGCUUGCAAUAUUUUGGAAUAUAUCCCCAUAUGUAGUUCUGCUCUAGGUAGAUAGUGCUUGCUUAAGCUUCUUUACUUGUAGUUAAAAAUGCAGAAAGGGUUAGCACUAAAAUCAGCAUUCCAAUUCUCCUUCACUACCUCUUUAAGGAUUUCAUGCUUUUUCCAGAAGUUUAGAAAUCUGAAUGACUUCUUAAUUGGAGGAGUUUCUAUAUCACAUUUCAGCAACAUCGGGCAAUGAUCAGACCCAAUUUUGGAUAGGUGAGUUACCUCCAAUUCAGGAAAGGUCUGUUGCAAUUCAUUAUUGCCAAAACAUCUAUCCAAUCUUUUAAAAAUACAGUCCUCCUCUGAUCUUCCAUUCCACCAUGUAAAUGUGCUUCCUUUAAAUCCCAAAUCUGUCAAGUUGCAGGUAUUGAUGCAGUGUCUAAAGUCAUCUACUUCAAGGAGAGAAACUGGCAAGCCUCCAUACUUCUCUUCCUUGUCCCAUAUCACAUUAAAGUCGCCUCCAACUAGCCAUGGUACUGUCAUAUCUGAUGCCAUUGCAUACAAAGUAUCCCAUAGUUCAAUUCUUUCAAUGCAAUCACAUUUGGCAUAAACUAGUGCAAGGAUGAGCUCAACAUGUGUUUCAGUGUGCAUCAAUCUCAAAGUCAGAUGUUGAGUCAUGUUAUAUAGAAUAGUAACCUAAAACAUUUCAUCAAUAAAAUCCCAAAUCUUGUUUGACACAUUCACCACAGCCUAUGCCAAACCAAUUCUUGCUCUAU
rnacentral:lncRNA from 1 species